CCUACGGGUGGCAGCAGUGAGGAAUAUUGGUCAAUGGCCGAGAGGCUGAACCAGCCAAGUCGCGUGAGGGAUGACGGCCCUACGGGUUGUAAACCUCUUUUGUCGGGGAGCAAAGAGAGUCACGUGUGGCUCAUUGAGAGUACCCGAAGAAAAAGCAUCGGCUAACUCCGUGCCAGCAGCCGCGGUAAUACGGAGGAUGCGAGCGUUAUCCGGAUUUAUUGGGGUUAACGGGUGCGCAGGCGGAGGUGAAACGCAGUGGGCAAAUUGAGGGGCUCAACCCCGUAAUGCCGUUGAAACUGCAUGCCUUGAGUGCGCGAGAAGUAAGCGGAAUGCGUGGUGUAGCGGUGAAAUGCAUAGAUAUCACGCAGAACUCCGAUUGCGAAGGCAGCAUACCGGCGCGCAACUGACGCUCAUGCACGAAAGCGUGGGUAUCGAACAGGAUUAGAUACCCUUGUAGUC
rnacentral:rRNA from 1 species